CUCGUGGGUGGAGGAAGGACUGGAGCCUGGUCAGUUGCCGGUGGUGAAGGAGAACCGUGAUCCCUUUGUCAGAGGGUCUUCAGUGAGGUGUUCCCCUGAUCCUCGCAUCCACCCCGUGACUUCCAGCGUUAUCAUCUCCGUCGCUAUCCCAGGAACACGGGAGGUUCAGAAGGGGAAAGUGAUUUCCCUAAGGUCUCACAACCCGGUGGUACUUUAUUUCUGCCUUCAUAGUUCUCUGCCUUUGCCCAAAACUGCAGAAAAUGAACAAAUCCCAGGGAUCAGUUUCAUUCACGGAUGUGACUGUGGACUUUACCCAGGAGGAAUGGGAACAACUGGACCCCUCUCAGAGGAUCCUAUACAUGGAUGUGAUGCUGGAGAAUUAUAGCAACUUACUUUCAGUGGGUAAGGACGGUUUUCAGAAGUGUGGAAGGCUGAUGACCAGAUGGAGAGAGACCACAGAAACCCAGACGAGCAGGCGAGGCAAUUUUUAAUU
rnacentral:lncRNA from 10 species